GCUGGCCGUGGUGGCACGCACCUGUAAUCCCAGCUACUCGGGAGGCUGAGGCAAGAGAAUCGCUUGAACCCGGGAGGCACAGGUUGCAGUGAGCCGAGAUCACGCCACUGCACUCCAGCCUGGCGACAGAGUGAGACUCUGUCUCAAAAAAAAAAAGGAGGCGGAGUCUCCCUCUGUUGCCCAGUCUGGAGUGCAGUGGCACUAUCUCGGCUCAGUGCAACCUCCGCCUCCUGGUUCAAGCAAUUCUUCUGACUCA
rnacentral:sRNA from 1 species